UACGUAUGGAGCAAGCGUUAUCCGGAUUUACUGGGUGUAAAGGGUGCGUAGGUGGCAGUGCAAGUCAGAUGUGAAAGGCCGGGGCUCAACCCCGGAGCUGCAUUUGAAACUGCUCGGCUAGAGUACAGGAGAGGCAGGUGGAAUUCCUAGUGUAGCGGUGAAAUGCGUAGAUAUUAGGAGGAACACCAGUGGCGAAGGCGGCCUGCUGGACUGUUACUGACACUGAGGCACGAAAGCGUGGGGAGCAAACAGG
rnacentral:rRNA from 1 species